UACAGAGGUCCCAAGCGUUGUUCGGAUUCAUUGGGCGUAAAGGGUGCGUAGGUGGCGUCGUAAGUCGGGUGUGAAAUCUCGGGGCUUAACUCCGAAACUGCAUUCGAUACUGCGGUGCUUGAGGACUGGAGAGGAGACUGGGAAUUUACGGUGUAGCAGUGAAAUGCGUAGAGAUCGUAAGGAAGACCAGUGGCGAAGGCGGGUCUCUGGGCCGAUACUGACGUGAGGAGCGAAAGCGUGGGGAGCGAACAGG
rnacentral:rRNA from 1 species